rnacentral:lncRNA from 1 species
ACUUAAAAUCUGCUCGUCCAAUACUUUCUUCAAAUUUGUAGUAGCUUCAAUAUGUAAUUGUAAUUUAUAAGCAGGAGCCUUUCUUUUUUCUUUUUUAAGUUCCCUUUCCUUUGUAGAAAUGUUCUCUAUUGUCUCUUCAUGAAUAGGAUUCUUUUAUUGUUGUGUUUUUUCUCCCCUUGUAGUUCUUUUUGAAGGCCCUU